rnacentral:rRNA from 1 species
UGAGGAAUAUUGGUCAAUGGGGCGGAAGCCUGAACCAGCCAUGCCGCGUGAAGGAAUAAGGCCCUAUGGGUCGUAAACUUCUUUUGACGGGGAGCAAUAAGGUCUACGUGUAGACCGAUGAGAGUACUCGUUGAAUAAGCAUCGGCUAACUCCGUGCCAGCAGCCGCGGUAAUACGGAGGAUGCAAGCGUUAUCCGGAUUUAUUGGGUUUAAAGGGUGCGUAGGCUGUUUGUCAAGUCAGAGGUGAAAGGCCGCAGCUCAACUGUGGAAUUGCCUUUGAUACUGGCAGGCUUGAAUACUGUUG